rnacentral:rRNA from 1 species
GAUGAACGCUGGCGGCGUGCUUAACACAUGCAAGUCGAACGGAAAGUCUCCUUCUUGCAGGGCUACUCUAGUUGCGAACUGGUGAGUAACACUUAGGUUAUCUGCCCUUCCCUUCGGGAUAAGCCUAUGAAACUUAGUCUAAUACCGGCUAGGACCACAUUUUUUUUGUUGUGCUGGCAUUUUUUUCGGUGUGGGAUGAGCUCGCGGCCUAUCAGCUUGUUGGUGGGGUACUGGCCUUCCAAGGCGUCGACGGGUAGCAGGCCUGAGAGGGUGUACGGCCAAACUGGGACUGAGAUAAGGCACAGACUACUAUGGGAGGCAGCAGUGGAGAAGAGAGUACAAGGGGAGCAAGCAUGAUGUAGCGAAGCAGCGCGGGGGAUGACGGCAAUGGGGUUGGAAACUAAUGUCGCUAGGGACGAAACGAAAGUGACGGUACCUGGAGAAGAAGCACCGGCUAACUACGUG